GUUUGAUCAUGGCUCAGAUUGAACGCUGGCGGCAUGCCUUACACAUGCAAGUCGAACGGUAACAGGGAGCUUGCUCCGCUGACGAGUGGCGAACGGGUGAGUAAUGUAUCGGAACGUACCUUUCAGUGGGGGAUAACGUAGCGAAAGUUACGCUAAUACCGCAUAUUCUGUGAGCAGGAAAGCAGGGGAUCGCAAGACCUUGCGCUGAUUGAGCGGCCGAUAUCAGAUUAGCUAGUUGGUGAGGUAAAGGCUCACCAAGGCGACGAUCUGUAGCGGGUCUGAGAGGAUGAUCCGCCACACUGGAACUGAGACACGGUCCAGACUCCUACGGGAGGCAGCAGUGGGGAAUUUUGGACAAUGGGGGCAACCCUGAUCCAGCCAUGCCGCGUGAGUGAAGAAGGCCUUCGGGUUGUAAAGCUCUUUCGGCCGGGAAGAAAUCGCAUGGGUUAAUACCCUGUGCGGAUGACGGUACCGGCAUAAGAAGCACCGGCUAACUACGUGCCAGCAGCCGCGGUAAUACGUAGGGUGCGAGCGUUAAUCGGAAUUACUGGGCGUAAAGCGUGCGCAGGCGGUUUUGUAAGACAGGCGUGAAAUCCCCGGGCUCAACCUGGGAACUGCGCUUGUGACUGCAAGGCUAGAGUAUGGCAGAGGGGGGUGGAAUUCCACGUGUAGCAGUGAAAUGCGUAGAGAUGUGGAGGAACACCAAUGGCGAAGGCAGCCCCCUGGGCCAAUACUGACGCUCAUGCACGAAAGCGUGGGUAGCAAACAGGAUUAGAUACCCUGGUAGUCCACGCCCUAAACGAUGUCAACUAGGUGUUGGGUGGGUAAAACCAUUUAGUACCGGAGCUAACGCGUGAAGUUGACCGCCUGGGGAGUACGG
rnacentral:rRNA from 1 species